ACGAGUUAGGGUCCUCUAGGCCCGACCUCCCAACCCUUUUCCUACCGAACCUCUGUUGCUUCGGCGGGCCCGUCUCACGACCGCCGGAGGACCGCCGCAGGGCGUGUCCUCUAGCCCGUGUCCGCCGAUAGCCAACUACAAAACUCUGUAUAAAUCAUGUCUCAUGUCUAAGUCAAAUUGAAUUAAAAGCA
rnacentral:misc_RNA from 1 species